CCUGAGCAGUGAGCACGUAAAAAAUAAAGAGACUAAUUAAGCACAUUUUCUGCAUAGUUUUUUUUCGUUAGUAUUAACUUAAUUAAUUAGUGAUGGAAACUGAACAAUUGAAGGAUAAGUAUGCUCUAAUUCUUCGUCUGCAAGCUCAAUUACUGGAGAAAAACAGAAAAUUUAGAGGAAACACUUUUCAACCAGUACAUAAUGUGCUACCGAAUUCGUCCCUGACGGAAAGGGAAAAUGAGCUGGCAGUGGGAUUCAAGAAGUACGAAAAGGGGAAAAAUGGGCUUCCAGUUCUACAACGGAAACAAAAAGGAAAAGAAAAUCUUACUAAGCCUUGCGAGCAGCUUUUCUGUUGCAUGAUGAAAAAAUGGCAUAGUAAUUAUAUCUGUCCCAUCGAACAAGACUUGGAGGAAUUAUCCAGAAUGUCACUAGAGUCUUCAAAGGACUGGAUAUCUGUGGAGGCUACUGCUUGUGUGUGAAGAGUGGAAAGUUCCUGAAACAUUUUCAAAGUAAUGUUCCCGAUGGAAAAUCUAUCAAGUCCAAACAAAGUUUAUUAUCCUGUCCUGUCAAACUCGACAACUUUUUAAACAAAUACGUACCUUUAUGAGCUUCGGUCAACUUGUCAGCCCUAAGGGUUGCAUCUUU
rnacentral:misc_RNA from 1 species